rnacentral:rRNA from 1 species
AACGAACGCUGGCGGCAGGCUUAACACAUGCAAGUCGAACGCCCCGCAAGGGGAGUGGCGCACGGGUGCGUAACGCGUGGAUAUCUGCCUUUUGGUUCGGAAUAACCCCGGGAAACUGGGGCUAAUACCGGAUGGUUCCUACGGGAUAAAGAUUUAUCGCCAAAAGAUGAGUCCGCGUACGAUUAGCUAGUUGGUGAGGUAAUGGCUCACCAAGGCGACGAUCGUUAGCUGGUCUGAGAGGACGAUCAGCCACACUGGGACUGAGACACGGCCCAGACUCCUACGGGAGGCAGCAGUGGGGAAUAUUGGACAAUGGGGGCAACCCUGAUCCAGCCAUGCCGCGUGAGUGAUGAAGGCCUUCGGGUUGUAAAGCUCUUUUGGCGGGGACGAUGAUGACGGUACCCGCAGAAUAAGCCCCGGCUAACUUCGUG